rnacentral:rRNA from 1 species
UACGGAGGAUGCAAGCGUUAUCCGGAAUGAUUGGGCGUAAAGCGUCCGCAGGUGGCAAUGUAAGUCUGCUGUCAAAGCGUCUGGCUCAACCAGAUACAGGCAGUGGAAACUACAUAGCUAGAGUAAGGUAGGGGCAGAGGGAAUUCCUGGUGUAGCGGUGAAAUGCGUAGAGAUCAGGAAGAACACCGGUGGCGAAGGCGCUCUGCUGGACCUUAACUGACACUGAGGGACGAAAGCUAGGGGAGCGAAUGGG